GUGUGACUUCGGCCAUCGCUCUGGUAGUCCCGGUAGCUGACGAACUCCUGCCAAGGGCAGCGGUAGCCCUUGGAGAUGGCGGUGUGGUUGAACUUCUCUGGCGGGACGCCCUUCAGCGGCUCCGCAUAGCCUAGGGGCGCGGGGGGAAGGGAGCGCCUCCGUUCUUCCACCCUCAGCCCCCAACCCCACCUCGCCCCACCCCCAUUCCGCGGACGCGGUUGGAGGAGGGAAGAUCGGAGUUAGGGGAGAGGACGGCGGGAAUGGGAAGCCACAGUUGCUCCAGCACAGGAGACCCCUCCCCAUCCCAGGAAACACGGAGGACUGCAGUGAGGAAGCCACGAGUUCGCAGCGCGGGUCUUUGCCCAUAAUGGUGGAGGUAGUGAGAAAUGGUCAGAUUCUCGAUAUUUUUUAAAGACGAGUUUCACUCUUGUUGCCCAGGCUGGAGUGCAAUGGCAUGAUCUCGGCUCACUGCAACCUCUGCCUCCCGGGUUCAAGCGAUUCUCCUGCCUCAGCCUCCCGAGUAGCUGGAAUUGCAGGCAUGCACCAUCACGCCUGGCUAAUUUUGUAUUUAUAGUAGAGAUGGGGUUUCUCCAUGUUGGUCAGGCUGGUCUCGAGCUCCCAACCUCAGGUCAUCCGCUUGCCUCAGUCUCCCAAAGUGCUGGGAUUACAGGCGUGAGCCACCUCCCCCAGCUGAGCUCAAUAUUUAAAAAAAAAAAAUGGCAGGCACAGUGGCUCACAACUAUAAUCCCAGCACUUGCAGAGGGCAAAGUGGGUGGAUUGCUUGGGCCCAGGAGUUCAAGACCAGCCUGGGCAAUAUAGCAAGACCCUGUCUCUAUUAAAAAAUAAAAAAAGAUAAAAUCUAUUUGACUGAGUAUUUCUAUUUCUAGGAAUUUAUUCUCGGGGAAAAAGUUGAAUAAAUAUGUCCAAAGAUA
rnacentral:lncRNA from 1 species